AACGAACGCUGGCGGCAUGCCUAACACAUGCAAGUCGAACGAGACCUUCGGGUCUAGUGGCGCACGGGUGCGUAACGCGUGGGAACCUGCCCUUAGGUUCGGAAUAACUCCCCGAAAGGGGUGCUAAUACCGGAUAAUAUCUUCGGACCAAAGAUUUAUCGCCUUUGGAUGGGCCGGCGUUGGAGUAGCUAGUUGGUAGGGUAAAAGCCUACCAAGGCGACGAUCCAUAGCUGGUCUGAGAGGAUGAUCAGCCACGCUGGGACUGAGACACGGCCCAGACUACUACGGGAGGCAGCAGUGGGGAAUAUUGGACAAUGGGAGAAAGCCUGAUCCAGCAAUGCCGCGUGAGUGAUGAAGGCCUGAGGGUUGUAAAGCUCUUUUACCCGGGAUGAUAAUGACAGUACCGGGAGAAUAAGCUCCGGCUAACUCCGUG
rnacentral:rRNA from 1 species